GGUGAAGAAGCCCUUCGGGUUGUAAAGCCCUUUUGUUGGGAAAGAAAUCCAGCUGGCUAAUACCCGGUUGGGAUGACGGUACCCAAAGAAUAAGCACCGGCUAACUUCGUGCCAGCAGCCGCGGUAAUACGAAGGGUGCAAGCGUUACUCGGAAUUACUGGGCGUAAAGCGUGCGUAGGUGGUCGUUUAAGUCCGUUGUGAAAGCCCUGGGCUCAACCUGGGAACUGCAGUGGAUACUGGACGACUAGAGUGUGGUAGAGGGUAGCGGAAUUCCUGGUGUAGCAGUGAAAUGCGUAGAGAUCAGGAGGAACAUCCAUGGCGAAGGCAGCUACCUGGACCAACACUGACACUGAGGCACGAAAGCGUGGGGAGCAAACAGGAUUAGAUACCCUGGUAGUCCACGCCCUAAACGAUGCGAACUGGAUGUUGGGUGCAAUUUGGCACGCAGUAUCGAAGCUAACGCGUUAAGUUCGCCGCCUGGGGAGUACGGUCGCAAGACUGAAACUCAAAGGAAUUGACGGC
rnacentral:rRNA from 1 species